AUUGAACGCUGGCGGCAUGCCUUACACAUGCAAGUCGAACGGUAACAGGUUAAGCUGACGAGUGGCGAACGGGUGAGUAAUAUAUCGGAACGUGCCCAGUAGUGGGGGAUAGCCCGGCGAAAGCCGGAUUAAUACCGCAUACGACCUACGGGUGAAAGGGGGGAUCGCAAGACCUCUCGCUAUUGGAGCGGCCGAUAUCAGAUUAGCUAGUUGGUGGGUAAAAGCUCACCAAGGCGACGAUCUGUAGCUGGUCUGAGAGGACGACCAGCCACACUGGGACUGAGACACGGCCCAGACUCCUACGGGAGGCAGCAGUGGGGAAUUUUGGACAAUGGACGCAAGUCUGAUCCAGCCAUGCCGCGUGCGGGAAGAAGGCCUCGGUUGUAACCGU
rnacentral:rRNA from 1 species